rnacentral:rRNA from 2 species
GGUUAAGCGACUAAGCGUACACGGUGGAUGCCCUGGCAGUCAGAGGCGAUGAAGGACGUGCUAAUCUGCGAUAAGCGUCGGUAAGGUGAUAUGAACCGUUAUAACCGGCGAUUUCCGAAUGGGGAAACCCAGUGUGUUUCGACACACUAUCAUUAACUGAAUCCAUAGGUUAAUGAGGCGAACCGGGGGAACUGAAACAUCUAAGUACCCCGAGGAAAAGAAAUCAACCGAGAUUCCCCCAGUAGCGGCGAGCGAACGGGGAGGAGCCCAGAGCCUGAAUCAGUGUGUGUGUUAGUGGAAGCGUCUGGAAAGGCGCGCGAUACAGGGUGACAGCCCCGUACACAAAAAUACACAUAUUGUGAGCUCGAUGAGUAGGGCGGGACACGUGGUAUCCUGUCUGAAUAUGGGGGGACCAUCCUCCAAGGCUAAAUACUCCUGACUGACCGAUAGUGAACCAGUACCGUGAGGGAAAGGCGAAAAGAACCCCGGCGAGGGGAGUGAAAAAGAACCUGAAACCGUGUACGUACAAGCAGUGGGAGCACGCUUAGGCGUGUGACUGCGUACCUUUUGUAUAAUGGGUCAGCGACUUAUAUUCUGUAGCAAGGUUAACCGAAUAGGGGAGCCGAAGGGAAACCGAGUCUUAACUGGGCGUUAAGUUGCAGGGUAUAGACCCGAAACCCGGUGAUCUAGCCAUGGGCAGGUUGAAGGUUGGGUAACACUAACUGGAGGACCGAACCGACUAAUGUUGAAAAAUUAGCGGAUGACUUGUGGCUGGGGGUGAAAGGCCAAUCAAACCGGGAGAUAGCUGGUUCUCCCCGAAAGCUAUUUAGGUAGCGCCUCGUGAAUUCAUCUCCGGGGGUAGAGCACUGUUUCGGCAAGGGGGUCAUCCCGACUUACCAACCCGAUGCAAACUGCGAAUACCGGAGAAUGUUAUCACGGGAGACACACGGCGGGUGCUAACGUCCGUCGUGAAGAGGGAAACAACCCAGACCGCCAGCUAAGGUCCCAAAGUCAUGGUUAAGUGGGAAACGAUGUGGGAAGGCCCAGACAGCCAGGAUGUUGGCUUAGAAGCAGCCAUCAUUUAAAGAAAGCGUAAUAGCUCACUGGUCGAGUCGGCCUGCGCGGAAGAUGUAACGGGGCUAAACCAUGCACCGAAGCUGCGGCAGCGACGCUUAUGCGUUGUUGGGUAGGGGAGCGUUCUGUAAGCCUGCGAAGGUGUGCUGUGAGGCAUGCUGGAGGUAUCAGAAGUGCGAAUGCUGACAUAAGUAACGAUAAAGCGGGUGAAAAGCCCGCUCGCCGGAAGACCAAGGGUUCCUGUCCAACGUUAAUCGGGGCAGGGUGAGUCGACCCCUAAGGCGAGGCCGAAAGGCGUAGUCGAUGGGAAACAGGUUAAUAUUCCUGUACUUGGUGUUACUGCGAAGGGGGGACGGAGAAGGCUAUGUUGGCCGGGCGACGGUUGUCCCGGUUUAAGCGUGUAGGCUGGUUUUCCAGGCAAAUCCGGAAAAUCAAGGCUGAGGCGUGAUGACGAGGCACUACGGUGCUGAAGCAACAAAUGCCCUGCUUCCAGGAAAAGCCUCUAAGCAUCAGGUAACAUCAAAUCGUACCCCAAACCGACACAGGUGGUCAGGUAGAGAAUACCAAGGCGCUUGAGAGAACUCGGGUGAAGGAACUAGGCAAAAUGGUGCCGUAACUUCGGGAGAAGGCACGCUGAUAUGUAGGUGAAGUCCCUUGCGGAUGGAGCUGAAAUCAGUCGAAGAUACCAGCUGGCUGCAACUGUUUAUUAAAAACACAGCACUGUGCAAACACGAAAGUGGACGUAUACGGUGUGACGCCUGCCCGGUGCCGGAAGGUUAAUUGAUGGGGUCAGCGCAAGCGAAGCUCUUGAUCGAAGCCCCGGUAAACGGCGGCCGUAACUAUAACGGUCCUAAGGUAGCGAAAUUCCUUGUCGGGUAAGUUCCGACCUGCACGAAUGGCGUAAUGAUGGCCAGGCUGUCUCCACCCGAGACUCAGUGAAAUUGAACUCGCUGUGAAGAUGCAGUGUACCCGCGGCAAGACGGAAAGACCCCGUGAACCUUUACUAUAGCUUGACACUGAACAUUGAGCCUUGAUGUGUAGGAUAGGUGGGAGGCUUUGAAGUGUGGACGCCAGUCUGCAUGGAGCCGGCCUUGAAAUACCACCCUUUAAUGUUUGAUGUUCUAACGUGGACCCGUGAUCCGGGUUGCGGACAGUGUCUGGUGGGUAGUUUGACUGGGGCGGUCUCCUCCUAAAGAGUAACGGAGGAGCACGAAGGUUGGCUAAUCCUGGUCGGACAUCAGGAGGUUAGUGCAAUGGCAUAAGCCAGCUUGACUGCGAGCGUGACGGCGCGAGCAGGUGCGAAAGCAGGUCAUAGUGAUCCGGUGGUUCUGAAUGGAAGGGCCAUCGCUCAACGGAUAAAAGGUACUCCGGGGAUAACAGGCUGAUACCGCCCAAGAGUUCAUAUCGACGGCGGUGUUUGGCACCUCGAUGUCGGCUCAUCACAUCCUGGGGCUGAAGUAGGUCCCAAGGGUAUGGCUGUUCGCCAUUUAAAGUGGUACGCGAGCUGGGUUUAGAACGUCGUGAGACAGUUCGGUCCCUAUCUGCCGUGGGCGCUGGAGAACUGAGGGGGGCUGCUCCUAGUACGAGAGGACCGGAGUGGACGCAUCACUGGUGUUCGGGUUGUCAUGCCAAUGGCACUGCCCGGUAGCUAAAUGCGGAAGAGAUAAGUGCUGAAAGCAUCUAAGCACGAAACUUGCCCCGAGAUGAGUUCUCCCUGACCCUUUAAGGGUCCUGAAGGAACGUUGAAGACGACGACGUUGAUAGGCCGGGUGUGUAAGCGCAGCGAUGCGUUGAGCUAACCGGUACUAAUGAACCGUGAGGCUUAACCUU